rnacentral:rRNA from 1 species
CCCUAUGGGGUGCAGCAGGCGCGAAAACUUCACACUGCAGGAAACUGUGAUGAGGGAACUCCUAGUGCAUGCACUAUGUGUAUGUAGAUCCUACUUUUAAUCAGUAGAGGGAAAGGGCUGGGAAAGACCGGUGCCAGCCGCCGCGGUAAUACCGGCAGCUCAAGUGGUCGUCGCUUUUAUUGGGCCUAAAACGUCCGUAGCCUGUUUGGUAAAUCUGUGGGUAAAUCAAUCCGCUCAACGGAUUGAAUUCUGCAGAGACUGCCAGACUAGGGACCGGGAGAGGUGUGGGGUACUCGAGGGGUAGGGGUAAAAUCCUGUCAUCCUUCGAGGACCACCAGUUGCGAAGGCGCCACACUGGAACGGAUCCGACGGUCAGGGACGAAGCCUAGGGGCACGAACCGGAUUAGAUACCCGGGUAGUCCUAGGUGUAAACGCUGUGAACUUGGUGUCGGGGGUCCGCAAGGGGUCCCCGGUGCCGGAGUGAAGAUGUUAAGUUCACUGCCUGGGGAGUACGGUCGCAAGGCUGAAACUUAAAGGAAUUGGCGGGGGAGCACUGCAACGGGAGGAGCGUGCGGUUUAAUUGGAUUCAACGCCGGAAAACUCACCAGGGCCGACGAUUAUAUGAAGACCAGCGUAACGAGCUUGUCGGAUUUAUCGAGAGGUAGUGCAUGGGCCAA